AAAUUGAAGAGUUUGAUCAUGGCUCAGAUUGAACGCUGGCGGCAGGCCUAACACAUGCAAGUCGAGCGGUAGCACAGAGAGCUUGCUCUCGGGUGACGAGCGGCGGACGGGUGAGUAAUGUCUGGGAAACUGCCUGAUGGAGGGGGAUAACUACUGGAAACGGUAGCUAAUACCGCAUAACGUCGCAAGACCAAAGUGGGGGACCUUCGGGCCUCAUGCCAUCAGAUGUGCCCAGAUGGGAUUAGCUAGUAGGUGAGGUAACGGCUCACCUAGGCGACGAUCCCUAGCUGGUCUGAGAGGAUGACCAGCCACACUGGAACUGAGACACGGUCCAGACUCCUACGGGAGGCAGCAGUGGGGAAUAUUGCACAAUGGGCGCAAGCCUGAUGCAGCCAUGCCGCGUGUGUGAAGAAGGCCUUCGGGUUGUAAAGCACUUUCAGCGGGGAGGAAGGCGUUAAGGUUAAUAACCUUGGCGAUUGACGUUACCCGCAGAAGAAGCACCGGCUAACUCCGUGCCAGCAGCCGCGGUAAUACGGAGGGUGCAAGCGUUAAUCGGAAUUACUGGGCGUAAAGCGCACGCAGGCGGUCUGUCAAGUCGGAUGUGAAAUCCCCGGGCUCAACCUG
rnacentral:ncRNA from 1 species